GGUUUCUAUAGACAAUUUAUACCGCGAUGCGCAGACCUAACUCAAUCGCUAACUUGGCUUUUGCGGAAGGGAGCACGAUGGUCGUGGGGUGAAGCGCACGAACAGGCGCUUACCUCUCUCGCUAAAGCGAUUGCGGAAACUACCCGCUUGUAUCUCCCAGACUUGAACCGCCCAUUUGUACUUCAAACAGAUGCGAGCGAUUACGGCCUUGGUGCAGUCUUGUUACAAGAGCACCAUCCCAAGUAGCACAUCCUAUCGGGCCAGUCGCUGGAGCGAUCGGCGCUCCAGCGGCGGAAAUCGGCCGAUCUCCUUCUUCUUUGUAGGGGGUAAGAGUUGUCAGCCACAGUCAAGUGGGUUGCUACUCUUUAAUCCUCCCCGUCAGAAGCCGAUGUCAUGCCGAGCGACGAGUGGUGUGCGAAGAGAGCCGGCAGAGAGAACGACGAGGCGGAGAGACGGCGCGGUGGCGGUGACCAGGCUCCCAGAGCUCCCCAUAGAGCCCAUAGUUUGAGGUAAUUCAGGCAACGCUGGACAUGCAACCAAUGAAAAUAACUAUGAUGCCUACCAUUCGGCCAAUCAGGAGUCUCUCAGUUUGGCUCGCCUUUCGGCAGGGUACUGGCUACCAUCGGCUUUUACUUUUACUGGUUUUCAUGCCCGACGCUCAUUGUUCCAUAUUCCAGAACAACUAGGCAAAUUUUUGACAAAAUACACAUUUAUUUGAAACAUCGUACUGAUUCAAUAGUUUGACACAAAUAUUCACCGUGCGUACAGAGUCCAAAUCGUUGCGUUCGUUGACCUAGUUCGAACUCGAAAAACACACACACACUCUACUCCCAGGAGUGAAUGACGCUCACACGAGUGCAUGCGAUUUCACGGUGGGCAUCUCCUUUCGUUGGUUGCAGUGCGAAGGUUUCAACCAAGCGGGCAAUGCCUGUCGCACGAACACCGAAUCCUGUCUCCGUUGUGACUGCAUUUGAAAAUGCGACGGCGCUCACAAGUGUUCCUCAGGCGUCAGCCCACCACUGCAUUCCAGUUCUGAACUCGAGAGACUGUUCGUACGUAGGAUACUUGUGUCGGGAAACAUCACAACACGCGCUGGGUCACUCUGACACAGAGUUCGAGGUAACUCGUUACAAGUAUCUCGUUACUGUAACUAAGUUCCUUUUCUUGGUAACUUGUAACUUAACUCGGUACUUUUGGGCCGUGGUAACUUUAAGAGGAACUCGUUCCUUUUUUAGGUAACUUUGCCAAAGUAACUUAAGUUAAGUUCCAAGUUACUUUUAACUCGAUUUUCACUCACGUUCACAUAUUUUCUUGCUUUCUCUCCGGUUCCUUCAUGGCAUUUUCCCCAUAAAACGUGAUAUUCAAUCAAUUACAGUAUUUUAUUCAGGAAGUAAGAACCGCUGCCAUUGAAAUGACGCUGAACCAUUGUGCGCCCACAGGGGGAGUAAGAUGCAAAGCGUUCGAAUAGACCUCUACCAGAGAAACGUCAUCAUGGCAUAGACAGACUGAAACCGAAACAAAUCGGAAGGAGAGGGCUGGGUUCCACGAACGGGCACUUAUUCGCUGCCUCCCAUUGAAAGAAAAGUAGGACAGAGGGUCGCGUCCCUUUAAGGGACCAUAUCGUAAUCCCCUCAAGACCGUGGCUCUUGGGCGCGACCUUGUUCACCUCUAGCUUCGAGCGUAGUUCAAUUCUACCAAAUUUUGGCGCUGUCGAACACUAUGACGUCAUUUGCUUACAAACAGGGAGAGGUCUAUUGUUGGACAUAAACGAAAACGAUCUAAGCGUGUUGCACUCCUCCGGAGGCAACUUCAGGUCUAAGUCAACUGCUCACGCGCGCUGCACCUGCGUAAUUCUAUUUUGUGUCCGAAGUAACUUGGAAGUAAGUCGUUCUUUUUUUUUAAGUAACUCAGUAACUGCGAGUUACAUUUCAGGCUGAAGAACUUCGUUAUUAACUUAGUUACAUUUUGCACACGGUAACUUAACUUGUAACGAGUUCUUUUUGACGAAUAACUUCUCAAUCUAUGCUGACACACUAACAAAUUUGGGACUUCUCUUUGACAUCGUCGAGACGCGAGACGCCGCUGCCACUUCUCUCCCUUCUCUUCUGGCAACUGCCCGCGGAAGAAUGCUCUUUUGAAACUUUGCCAACCAAUAGCGGAGCGCGCAAUGUCCUUCGACCAAUGGGUAUCAACUAUGAUGCCUGACGGAGUAAUACCACGUGUUUAUGACGUGCAAACAUUUUUUUAGAGCCGCGAAGAGGGGGAGCUAUGGGGCCUGGCGGUGACGUCCAAGCACUUAGUUUUUCUUUUUGUAUUGGCUGCGUUGCGCAUGCGCAGCGGUGACUUCCAGCACGCUUCUCCCAACGAAGUUUCUCGUUUCCCGGCUGCUGGUACGAACUUCGUUGUUUGCCAAGUUACGACUUCGUCGUGUUCACAAUUUCAGGAGCAGGGAACCAACGCCAACACAACAUACAAGAAGUCUACCUACCUGCAGCAGCAUUGUCGCAAGCAACAUGCAGGUGUAGUGCUCAUAGUCACAGUGAGAUAUUACAUACUGCUUUGCACCAAUCUAUGACUACAGAUGGCUUUCCAAUCACGGCUUUCCUAAACAAUGUUCACAAAAGGGCCAGCAAAGAGCAUCAUGCUGCUUAGCUGCCUCCAUAUACAGCCAGGUCAUUACAGAAUUCUUGAUUACAAGUUGCUGAUUGUUUCUGUCCAGACUUAUUGUCAGUAUUUAAUGAACAGUCUGUGGAUAAGUAGGAAAGUCCCAUCCACAAAACAUUCUCUGCUCUCUGCAAGCAGGAGAAAGUGCUCUUCACUAGUGAAGCACAGUUUUGUUUUGCCCAUUGCUCUACAGGAACCUCCUCUUGUUCAGUAUCACUAUAGUGGCCACUGAGUCCAUGGUCUGCUACAGCCUGUGGCCAGUAGUGACCUUUUCCACUGUACAAUAUGGCUUGGACAGUAUUGCACAAAACAUACCAUGCAAUUCUAAAUUAAAGAGUAAAAUUCCUAAUUAAAAAUUCCUAUCUUAAGUAUAACUUUUACUUCAAAAUGGCAGUGUCAAAUUCUACAGUCAAUCCUCAUUUUGUUCCAAUUCCUAAUUCUACAUUGAAGCAUCAUUUGAAAUUGAAAAUUUCAAUUUUAUUUGUUUUUCUAUGUUAUGUUAGUGUGUUGUCUUUUAUGUUUGUUACGUUAUGUUUAUGUAUGUCCAAAGGCCUGCAUAUUUUGCCUGUACUGCAGUUAAAAUGGCACACGUUGUGCCAUGCAGAGACAAACACUGCCCACAGUGCACCUACUUCAAGGCCAAAGACGUGCAAGAUUUCUCUCGCAUUUUCUGCUUAAAGCCUCCAGAUGCAUGCUCACAGGCCUCCCAGCUGUUUGUAAACCCUAAGAAGGUAUUAAGCAUUUCUUGUUCUUGAAUUGUCAGUAUUUGACCUAAAUCUAUGGACAAAUACUCUGAAAAUUCACAUAUUACACUCUAAAUUCCAUUUCUAAAUCAAAUUUCAAAUCCCUAAUUGAAAAUUCUGUGGACAAUUAGAAUAAAGACUGUUCAAGCUGGA